AUCCCUAGCUGGUCUGAGAGGAUGACCAGCCACACUGGAACUGAGACACGGUCCAGACUCCUACGGGAGGCAGCUAGUGGGGAAUAUUGCACAAUGGGCGCAAGCCUGAUGCAGCCAUGCCGCGUGUAUGAAGAAGGCCUUCGGGUUGUAAAGUACUUUCAGCGGGGAGGAAGGGAGUAAAGUUAAUACCUUUGCUCAUUGACGUUACCCGCAGAAGAAGCACCGGCUAACUCCGUGCCAGCUGCCGCGGUAAUACGGAGGGUGCAAGCGUUAAUCGGAAUUACUGGGCGUAAAGCGCACGCAGGCGGUUUGUUAAGUCAGAUGUGAAAUCCCGGGGCUCAACCUGGGAACUGCAUCUGAUACUGGCAAGCUUGAGUCUCGUAGAGGGGGGUAGAAUUCCAGGUGUAGCGGUGAAAUGCGUAGAGAUCUGGAGGAAUACCGGUGGCGAAGGCGGCCCCCUGGACGAAGACUGACGCUCAGGUGCGAAAGCGUGGGGAGCAAACAGGAUAAGAUACCCUGGUAGUCCACGCCGUUAAACGAUGGUCGACUUGGAGGUUGUGCCCUUGAGGCGUGGCUUCCGGAGCUAACGCGUUAAGUCGACCGCCUGGGGAGUACGGCCGCAAGGUUAAAACUCAAAUGAAUUGACGGGGGCCCGCACAAGCGGUGGAGCAUGUGGUUUAAUUCGAUGCAACGCGAAGAACCUUACCUGGUCUUGACAUCCACGGAACUUUUCAGAGAUGAGAAGGUGCCUUCGGGAACCGUGAGACAGGUGCUGCAUGGCUGUCGUCAGCUCGUGUUGUGAAAUGUUGGGUUAAGUCCCGCAACGAGCGCAACCCUUAUCCUUUGUUGCCAGCGGUCCGGCCGGGAACUCAAAGGAGACUGCCUGUGAUAAACUGGAGGAAGGUGGGGAUGACGUCAAGUCAUCAUGGCCCUUACGACCACGGCUACACACGUGCUACAAUGGCGCAUACAAAGAGAAGCGACCUCGCGAGAGCAAGCGGACCUCAUAAAGUGCGUCGUAGUCCGGAUUGGAGUCUGCAACUCGACUCC
rnacentral:rRNA from 1 species